GACGAACCGGUGCGAACGUUGUUCGGAAUCACUGGGCUUAAAGGGCGCGUAGGCGGGCGGUCAAGUCUGUGGUGAAAUCCUCCGGCUCAACCGGAGAAUAGCUGGAGAUACUGACCGUCGUCGAGGGGGGUAGGGGCAUGUGGGAACUUCCGGUGGAGCGGUGAAAUGCGUAGAUAUCAUUUGGAACGUCCAAUGGUGAAAACAGGUAGCUGGGGAAGUGCUGGACGCUGGAGACACGGAA
rnacentral:rRNA from 1 species